UACGAAGGGGGCUAGCGUUGCUCGGAAUUACUGGGCGUAAAGCGCACGUAGGCGGCUUCUUAAGUCGGUGGUGAAAUCCUGGAGCUCAACUCCAGAACUGCCUUCGAUACUGGGAGCUCGAGUCCGGGAGAGGUGAGUGGAACUGCGAGUGUAGAGGUGAAAUUCGUAGAUAUUCGCAAGAACACCAGUGGCGAAGGCGGCUCACUGGCCCGGUACUGACGCUGAAAUACGAAAGCGUGGGGAGCAAACAGGG
rnacentral:rRNA from 1 species